AACCGAGGGAUUUAGUUGUAUAUCAUGGUAAAAAGACAGUUAGAUAAAAUUUACUAGGUUGAUUAAAUACACUAUUAGGAGGUAGAAUUCGAAUAUAGGUAAAUAUUUUUAGUAAAACCAACGCAUUGAAGCUGUGAUAACUUUGAGGGAAACUAGGAUUAGAUACCCUACUAUUCAUAGAGAUAAAUAAGAAAAUUCUACCAGAGUACUAAGAAUUAAAAAUUUAAAACUCAAAGGGCUUGGCGGUGUUCUAGACUACUUAGGGGAACCUGUCUCAUAAUCGAUAAUCCACGUUAAACCUAACCUUCUUUUGCAUUCAGUUUGUAUACCGUCGUCGCCAGGUAACUUUUAAAAUAUAAGAAGUUAGCUAGGUAAAUAUUUCAAUUAAGACGUCAGAUCAAGGUGCAGCCAACAAAAAGGUGUAGAUGGGUUACAAUUAUGCAAUUUAUAAUUACGGACAAUUAUUUUAAAAAUGAUUGGUAAGGAGGACUUAAAAGUAAAAUGAAUUAUAUAAGUGCUUUGAAUAAAGCUCUGGAACGUGC
rnacentral:rRNA from 1 species